CACACACUGACAAAUGCCCGUCUUCU
rnacentral:misc_RNA from 1 species